rnacentral:rRNA from 1 species
GACGAACGCUGGCGGCGUGCCUAAUACAUGCAAGUUGAGCGCUGAAGGUUGGUACUUGUACCAACUGGAUGAGCAGCGAACGGGUGAGUAACGCGUGGGGAAUCUGCCUUUGAGCGGGGGACAACGUUUGGAAACGAAUGCUAAUACCGCAUAAAAACUUUAAACACAAGUUUUAAGUUUGAAAGAUGCAAUUGCAUCACUCAAAGAUGAUCCCGCGUUGUAUUAGCUAGUUGGUGAGGUAAAGGCUCACCAAGGCGAUGAUACAUAGCCGACCUGAGAGGGUGAUCGGCCACAUUGGGACUGAGACACGGCCCAAACUCCUACGGGAGGCAGCAGUAGGGAAUCUUCGGCAACGGACGAAAGUCUGACCGAGCAACGCCGCGUGAGUGAAGAAGGUUUUCGGAUCGUAAAACUCUGUUGGUAGAGAAGAACGUUGGUGAGAGUGGAAAGCUCAUCAAGUGACGGUAACUACCCAGAAAGGGACGGCUAACUACGUG